rnacentral:rRNA from 1 species
UACGUAGGGUGCGAGCGUUGUCCGGAAUUAUUGGGCGUAAAGAGCUUGUAGGCGGUUUGUCGCGUCUGCCGUGAAAACCCAGGGCUCAACCCUGGGCUUGCAGUGGAUACGGGCAGACUAGAGGUAGGUAGGGGAGAAUGGAAUUCCUGGUGUAGCGGUGAAAUGCGCAGAUAUCAGGAAGAACACCCGUGGCUAAGGCGGCUCUCUAGUACGGUACUGACGCUGAGACGCGAAAGCGUGGGGAGCGAACAGG